AUGGGUUUGCUGGAUUUUAAAAAAUGGUGCAAGGUAUUUUCUAUCAAGCUGGCUACCUGUCAGAAGUGAUAUGUUCCUCUGACUGUUUUGUAUCCUGUUCUGUAUAACAGAAGGUUUUUUUUUUUUUACAAACCAUCAUCUCUCAGACGCUUUUACUGUUUCUCAAAAUGUUGAUUUCAGCUUCAACUCGUUACUAGCUGACUAGGCUAACCCACUUACCGGUUGUGGAUAGCUACUUAGCUAGAUAGUGCAGUCCUCCAACGUCCUCAGAGAGUAAACACAGUUUUGGUCAUCGGGUCAUAAACGAACAAGAAAUCAAAGGGUAUUGUAUCACAGAGAGGCUUGUUAUGCAUCUCUGAACGUGUGUGUGCGUUUGUUUAUUUAGUUAAAUAAUUCUAUAGAAACUAAACGAAUUAGAUAUGUGCUCUCGGUGACCUAAACUAUUGGCCUGUUAACUAUGUGACCUUUUUGCUGCUCUGUUGCAGACACACACCUUUCUUGUAACUGUAUCUGAAAGGUGAGGGGCACUUAUCCAUCCAUUACAGUAGUGCCGAUUCCUCUGAGCAAAUUAGCACUCACACUAACCCAGCGGAUACAAUUCUGAAAUAGGGUGCACUUACAAUGUUAUUGUACUUAUAACUUUAUAUAGACAAUUUUUAUGCACUGUUGACUCCAUGUCAUUGCACAAAAACAUAUACAGGUCUUCAGAAUCCCUCGGAAUGGAGCUGGGAACAAUCAACUAAGUUCUAUACUUUCUGCAGCAGAUGGCAGUGUUGGCAAAAAUGCGGGAGCGUCUUACCACGCAUGGGAAGUACUCUAAAGGAAGGGAAGAUAUGUACCAGUGAGGGAGCUGUCGCGUGGGCCAUGCUCCC